GAGUCACACAGCCACAAGUUCCAAUGGUACAAUGUGGAUUUGUCUGUGGUAGAAAGAAAAACAUCACAGUUAAGAAAAUGUAACUAUUUGAAUCUACAAUUUAAAUCCAGGGGAUGCAACCAACACUGUAUUGCCAUAGAACUUGACUUCAGUACUGUUAAAACUCUGAGGAGAGCAGAUGGCCUGGACAUUAAUGUCUCUCCUGGUCUUCAGGCUUGUCAGUGUCUGCUUUGAGCUUUAGACCAUCACUGUGGCUCUUAGAAACACGGCUAUUAAAGGUAAACAGAGCCCAUUUUUCAUUAAUGUAAAAAACAACAAGAGUAGAAAACGGCUUCCUUCUACUUAGUGCAAUGAGGAAAGACAAAACCUGUGGAACAACUCU
rnacentral:lncRNA from 1 species